UCAGCGUAGAGAAGCGCUGUAUAAAAUGGCGCCGCCGCGUUCCCUCUUCCUCCUUGAAACCGCGUUCACCAGAAAGUGCAGAGUAUGCAGAGUAUGCCUUUUAUCAUUUACAAUGACGUCAUCAGGCCAACGCUGCUGCAAAGCAGGUGCGGUCAAACGGGAGCCAACAGCAUCACUUUGACCGACGGUCGCUGUACAGUUCACCUGUAGCUGUCUCAGCAACAUUAAGGCAAAGGACAUCAUCCACAUGUUUAGUGAAAGAUGUCUACUUUAAUUGUCUAGGUCUGACUGUUGGUUAUCUUGCAGGUCUGAUUGUAGAGAUGAGGUUAAACAUGUCCACAGGAGGAUGAGUUAAGUGAAUGACUGGCAAGAUGGCCUAUAGUUGCUUAACUCGCAGAGAUUGGCUGAAUGAACCCGUGUGCGGUCUCUAAGGUGCUACAAUAUACUGGCAGGAAGUCACCUAAAAGAUGCUGUGCCUCCAGUGAGAUACUCCAGUCCCUGUAAGAACCGUCGGUGCAAGUUGGAGACUUGAGCAGGAGAAUUCAGGCCCAGGUACGUGGUCUUCACUAUGACUUGUGGGAUGCUGUAUCGGAAUUCUGAGUGGAUCAGACUUUGCCACUCGUUUUGCCCAGGUGUGUGGUCUUCACUCUGGUUUGAAGGAUUCAGCUGUCUGACGUCCAAGUGGCACUUUUUCUUUGUCAUGUGACCAAUUAGAUUCUUGGCCUAAUAUUGGUGUUUCCAUGUAUGUGUUCUGUUUAAUAAAAGCUUUCACUGGUC